UUGACCUCAAAUCAGGUAGGACUACCCGCUGAACUUAAGCAUAUCAAUAAGCGGAGGAAAAGAAACUAACAAGGAUUCCCCUAGUAACUGCGAGUGAAGCGGGAAGAGCUCAAAUUUGAAAUCUGGCAGUUCUUGAACUGUCCGAGUUGUAAUCUAGAGAAGUGUUACCUGUGCUGGACCGUGUACAAGUCUUCUGGAAUGGAGCAUCACAGAGGGUGAGAAUCCCGUCUUUGACAUGGACUACCUGUGCGAUAUGGUGCGCUCUCAAAGAGUCGAGUUGUUUGGGAAUGCAGCUCAAAAUGGGUGGUAAAUGCCAUCUAAAGCUAAAUAUUGGCGAGAGACCGAUAGCGAACAAGUACCGUGAGGGAAAGAUGAAAAGAACUUUGGAAAGAGAGUUAAACAGUACGUGAAAUUGCUGAAAGGGAAACGCUUGAAGUCAGUCACGUCGGCUAGAAAUCAACCUUGCUUUUGCUUGGUGUACUUUCUGGUUGAUGGGUCAGCAUCAAUUUUGACCAUCGGAUAAAGUCAUUGGGAAUGUGGCAUCUUAGGAUGUGUUAUAGCCCGGUGUUGCAUACGGUGGUUGGGAUUGAGG
rnacentral:rRNA from 1 species